UGAAGUGAAGGAUAACGGCAUUGAAAAUUAAUUAAUCUUGUCAAUAGUCCGGCUGGUGUUGACAGAAGAUAAAGAGGAACAAUAAUUAUUAAUAAAUUGUAAACAUCAAAAAAUUCCAAAACUAUUGAGGUGUUGAAAUCCAGUAAAUUUUCUUGUAAAGCUUGGAGCAUUGCAAAUGUUUGGUGUUAAUGUAUGAGAGUACUUCACAUGUAAACAAUAUUGAUGAAGUUGUCUGCUUAUUUGGGGCCAAAUAAGAAGGAGAGAAAUUUUCUUGGAAAAGAAUCGAAAGCAAUAAAGAUAAUGCUGCGAUUGGCAUUUUGGACAUUUGUGCUGUGUAUGUGGAUGUAUUGGCAAGCCUGCGCUGGAAAUUCGGCACAAAUCGGCUGUGUUUACAUCCGGUUUAGAGCAUUCAAAACGGUGCCGCCAAUUGAGACUGCCGUCGCCUGUGAAGUUUGCGCUGUACCGGUAAUUAGAUUUUUAAGUGCUAAAGGUGUGAAAGCCAUUUAAAUUCAUUGACAGAUUAGUGAAGUGUAUGGGGAGAAAAUUAUGAGUGGCGGAAUUGUACCUACGCAGGUGGG